CUAUACAUGCAGUCGAGCGGACAGAUGGGAGCUUGCUCCCUGAUGUUAGCGGCGGACGGGUGAGUAACACGUGGGUAACCUGCCUGUAAGACUGGGAUAACUCCGGGAAACCGGGGCUAAUACCGGAUGCUUGUUUGAACCGCAUGGUUCAGACAUAAAAGGUGGCUUCGGCUACCACUUACAGAUGGACCCGCGGCGCAUUAGCUAGUUGGUGAGGUAACGGCUCACCAAGGCGACGAUGCGUAGCCGACCUGAGAGGGUGAUCGGCCACACUGGGACUGAGACACGGCCCAGACUCCUACGGGAGGCAGCAGUAGGGAAUCUUCCGCAAUGGACGAAAGUCUGACGGAGCAACGCCGCGUGAGUGAUGAAGGUUUUCGGAUCGUAAAGCUCUGUUGUUAGGGAAGAACAAGUGCCGUUCAAAUAGGGCGGCACCUUGACGGUACCUAACCAGAAAGCCACGGCUAACUACGUGCCAGCAGCCGCGGUAAUACGUAGGUGGCAAGCGUUGUCCGGAAUUAUUGGGCGUAAAGGGCUCGCAGGCGGUUUCUUAAGUCUGAUGUGAAAGCCCCCGGCUCA
rnacentral:rRNA from 2 species